rnacentral:rRNA from 1 species
GAUGGCGGUCUAACGCAUGCAGUCGAACGGGGGUUUUGGGUAACUGAGACCCUAGUGGCAAACGGGUGAGUAACACGUGGGUAACCUACCUCGAAGUGGGGAAUAACGACCCGAAAGGGUCGCUAAUACCGCAUACAGUCGAAAGAGCAAAGUCAUACGCAAGUGUGACGCUUUGAGAGGGGCCUGCGGCCCAUCAGGUAGUUGGCAGGGUAAUAGCCUACCAAGCCGAUGACGGGUAGCUGAUCUGAGAGGAUGACCAGCCACACUGGCACUGAGACACGGGCCAGACUCCUACGGGAGGCAGCAGCGAGGAAUAUUGCGCAAUGGGCGAAAGCCUGACGCAGUAACGCCGCGUGCGGGAAGAAGGCCUUCGGGUCGUAAACCGCUUUUCGGAGGGACGAGUGAGGACGGUACCUCUGGAAUAAGUCUCGGCUAACUACGUGCCAGCAGCCGCGGUAAAACGUAGGAGGCAAGCGUUAUCCGGAUUCACUGGGCGUAAAGCGCGUGUAGGUGGUUCGUUAAGUCGCUGGUGAAAGCCCCUGGCUCAACUGGGGGAGGUCUAGCGAAACUGGCGGACUCGAGGGUCCGAGAGGAAGGUGGAAUUCCCGGUGUAGCGGUGGAAUGCGUAGAGAUCGGGAGGAACACCAGUGGCGAAGGCGGCCUUCUGGCGGGCAUCUGACACUGAAACGCGAAAGCGUGGGGGGCAAACGGGAUUAGAUACCCCGGUAGUCCACGCCCUAAACGAUGCACGCUAGGUGUUGGUGGGAUUUCCCAUCCGUGCCGUAGCGAACGCGUUAAGCCUGCCG